rnacentral:miRNA from 1 species
CACCUCAUCAACUGGAAGGGAUUCCUUCCGGUUGAUGAGGUUGUUACACCUCAUCAACUGGAAGGAAUCCCUUUCGGUUGAUGAGGCU